ACGGAAGGCAGCAGUGAGGAAUAUUGGUCAAUGGGCGAGAGCCUGAACCAGCCAAGUCGCGUGAAGGAUGAAGGUUCUAUGGAUUGUAAACUUCUUUUAUUCGAGGGUAAAGUGAGUCACGUGUGGUUCAUUGCAAGUAUCGAAUGAAUAAGCAUCGGCUAACUCCGUGCCAGCAGCCGCGGUAAUACGGAGGAUGCGAGCGUUAUCCGGAUUUAUUGGGUUUAAAGGGUGCGCAGGCGGCACGUUAAGUCAGCGGUGAAAUGUCGGGGCUCAACCCGGGCACUGCCGUUGAAACUGGCGAGCUUGAGUACGGAUGAAGUCGGCGGAAUGUGAUGUGUAGCGGUGAAAUGCUUAGAUAUGUCACAGAACACCGAUUGCGAAGGCAGCUGACUAAUCCGCAACUGACGCUCAGGCACGAAAGCGUGGGGAUCGAACAGGAUUAGAUACCCUGGUA
rnacentral:rRNA from 1 species